rnacentral:rRNA from 1 species
GCUUGCUUCUCUGGAUGAGUUGCGAACGGGUGAGUAACGCGUAGGUAACCUGCCUGGUAGCGGGGGAUAACUAUUGGAAACGAUAGCUAAUACCGCAUAAUAGCAGUUGUUGCAUGACAACUGUUUGAAAGGUGCAAUUGCACCACUACCAGAUGGACCUGCGUUGUAUUAGCUAGUUGGUGGGGUAACGGCUCACCAAGGCGACGAUACAUAGCCGACCUGAGAGGGUGAUCGGCCACACUGGGACUGAGACACGGCCCAGACUCCUACGGGAGGCAGCAGUAGGGAAUCUUCGGCAAUGGACGGAAGUCUGACCGAACAACGCCGCGUGAGUGAAGAAGGUUUUCGGAUCGUAAAGCUCUGUUGUAAGUCAAGAACGAGUGUGAGAGUGGAAAGUUCACACUGUGACGGUAGCUUACCAGAAAGGGACGGCUAACUACGUGCCAGCAGCCGCGGUAAUACGUAGGUCCCGAGCGUUGUCCGGAUUUAUUGGGCGUAAAGCGAGCGCAGGCGGUUUGAUAAGUCUGAAGUUAAAGGCUGUGGCUCAACCAUAGUUCGCUUUGGAAACUGUCAAACUUGAGUGCAGAAGGGGAGAGUGGAAUUCCAUGUGUAGCGGUGAAAUGCGUAGAUAUAUGGAGGAACACCGGUGGCG